CAUUUCAGAAGAAGGAAAUGACAGGAAUAAAGUUUCAUAAAGGUAAUAAAGAUAAGGGAUGUGUGUGUGUGUGUGUGUGUGUGUGUGUGUGUGUGUAGAUAAUCUCUAAUAUUCCUUCUAGCUCUAAAUCCUUUGAUUCUAAAUAGUCUAAUUUGUGUAGGACACAUAUAAAAGAUGUGUUAAAUGAUUCAAUUUAAUUUAAUAAACAUUUACUACUUGUAGAGUACUAGGCUUUACUAAACCUCAUGGGAGAUAAAUUAGAAAGAAGCAAUGUGAUAUAAUGUGACAGAGGGUUUGCACAUAGGAGAAGUGCCAGGCUGAAAAGUUUUUGUGGAUCUGCUCACCUCAAUGGGGGAAGGAUCCCAGGAGGUCUGGAAUGUUGAGAAGACAGAAGAUUCUGGCUGGGAUUUCAGUUGGAUAGUUCUCUCAACCUAGAGAAGCCUAGGAGAAGAGGUCUGGCCAAGCCUUUCUCCUGGGAUAUAUCCAUCUCUUUCCUCUCCUGGUGCCUGGACAUUCUACCCCUCCCCCCCAAUUCCCAAACUGAAGGAACAUCUGAAGAAGACAUUUUGAGCCUUUGUCAAAAAUUUACCUCACAGCUCCAGGUGCCCUGGAUUGUGAAAUCUUUGAAGGCAGGGACUAGUCAAUGUCUUUCUUUGGAUCCUCAGUACUUAGAAUAAUGCCCAGCAAAUAGCAGAGAGAAAUCUUGCUAUUA
rnacentral:lncRNA from 1 species